UACGUAGGGUGCAAGCGUUACUCGGAAUUACUGGGCGUAAAGCGUACGCAGGCGGCUAUGUAAGACAGGUGUGAAAUCCCCGGGCUUAACCUGGGAACUGCAUUUGAGACUGCAUGGCUGGAGUGCGGCAGAGGGGGAUGGAAUUCCGCGUGUAGCAGUGAAAUGCGUAGAUAUGCGGAGGAACACCGAUGGCGAAGGCAAUCCCCUGGGCCUGCACUGACGCUCAUGCACGAAAGCGUGGGGAGCAAACAGG
rnacentral:rRNA from 1 species